rnacentral:lncRNA from 1 species
UUUUGAAAUAUUCCAUCCCAGAUCUCAUUAGAUCUGGAAGAUCCUAUGAAGAAAAAAAUCGAUUUUUCCUUCAAUUAUUCACAAGAAGAAAGAGACGGAGAGAAAGAUGCACCUCAAAUCUUCACAUGUCUCUAACCCAACUCAAAUUCCUCCACACCAAAACCCUCCUUCCCAAUCUAACGCCCUAUCCCAAUUCAAAUUCCAUGCCAACUCAUGAUUUUCCAUGCCAAAAGAAGUCUUAAAUCCCUUUCUUUCCUAAAAUCCAUACACGCCCCA